UGCCCCGUGGAGAAGUUGGGUAUCUCGCCAGGCUCAUAACCUGGAGGCCGCUGGUUCGAAUCCAGCCGGGGCCAC
rnacentral:tRNA from 1 species